rnacentral:rRNA from 1 species
GAUGAACGCUGGCGGCGUGCCUAACACAUGCAAGUCGAACGGAGAUUUAACGCUGAUGAGGCUUCGGCGGAUUCUUGUUAAAUCUUAGUGGCGGACGGGUGAGUAACGCGUGGGCAACCUGCCUCAUACUGGGGGAUAACAGUUGGAAACGGCUGUUAAUACCGCAUAAGCGCACAGUGUCGCAUGACACAGUGUGAAAAACUCCGGUGGUAUGAGAUGGGCCCGCGUCAGAUUAGCUAGUUGGCGGGGUAACGGCCCACCAAGGCGACGAUCUGUAGCCGGACUGAGAGGUCGGACGGCCACAUUGGGACUGAGACACGGCCCAAACUCCUACGGGAGGCAGCAGUGGGGGAUAUUGCACAAUGGAGGAAACUCUGAUGCAGCGACGCCGCGUGAGUGAAGAAGUAUUUCGGUAUGUAAAGCUCUAUCAGCAGGGAAGAAAGGCUCGUAAGAGAGAUGACGUAC